rnacentral:pre_miRNA from 11 species
GAAUGCAUUUUGCUGUUGACGGUGAGCGACUGUAAACAUCCUCGACUGGAAGCUGUGAAGCAGUAGAUGAAGCUUUCAGUCGGAUGUUUGCAGCUGCCAACUGCCACAGGCGUCAAACAUUCAG